UACGUAGGGUCCGAGCGUUGUCCGGAAUUAUUGGGCGUAAAGGGCUCGUAGGCGGUUCGUCACGUCGGGUGUGAAAACUCGGGGCUUAACCCCGAGCCUGCUUCCGAUACGGGCAGACUAGAGGUAGGCAGGGGAGAGCGGAACUCCUGGUGUAGCGGUGGAAUGCGCAGAUAUCAGGAAGAACACCGGUGGUGAAGGCGGCUCUCUGGGCCUUACCUGACGCUGAGGAGCGAAAGCGUGGGUAGCGAACAGG
rnacentral:rRNA from 1 species